CAGUUCCAAAUAAGAACGCAGGGCAGAGUUUCUAAGGAGCUUGCCUAAUCUCAGCCUCCCAAAGUGCUGGGAUUACAGGCGUGAGCCACCGUGCCAAGCCUUAAAUAACUUUUUAAAAUAUAGUAGUAGUUUUAAACCAAAGAUCUUACCUUUCUGAAGAAAUACAUCCAGCUGAUCAAUACAUAAUGCCUUUAACUCUUUUUCACUUUUGUCUU
rnacentral:lncRNA from 1 species